CAGCUAGUUGGUGAGGUAACGGCUCACCAAGGCGACGACGGGUAGCCGGCCUGAGAGGGCGACCGGCCACACUGGGACUGAGACACGGCCCAGACUCCUACGGGAGGCAGCAGUGGGGAAUAUUGCGCAAUGGGCGAAAGCCUGACGCAGCGACGCCGCGUGGGGGAUGAAGGCCUUCGGGUUGUAAACCCCUUUCAGUAGGGACGAAGCGAAAGUGACGGUACCUGCACAAGAAGCGCCGGCUAACUACGUGCCAGCAGCCGCGGUAACACGUAGGGCGCAAGCGUUGUCCGGAAUUAUUGGGCGUAAAGAGCUCGUAGGCGGUUUGCUGCGUCCGCUGUGAAAAUCCAG
rnacentral:rRNA from 1 species